rnacentral:rRNA from 1 species
GAUGAACGCUGGCGGCGUGCCUAAUACAUGCAAGUCGAGCGAACGGACGAGAAGCUUGCUUCUCUGAUGUUAGCGGCGGACGGGUGAGUAACACGUGGAUAACCUACCUAUAAGACUGGGAUAACUUCGGGAAACCGGAGCUAAUACCGGAUAAUAUUUUGAACCGCAUGGUUCAAAAGUGAAAGACGGUCUUGCUGUCACUUAUGGAUGGAUCCGCGCUGCAUUAGCUAGUUGGUAAGGUAACGGCUUACCAAGGCAACGAUGCAUAGCCGACCUGAGAGGGUGAUCGGCCACACUGGAACUGAGACACGGUCCAGACUCCUACGGGAGGCAGCAGUAGGGAAUCUUCCGCAAUGGGCGAAAGCCUGACGGAGCAACGCCGCGUGAGUGAUGAAGGUCUUCGGAUCGUAAAACUCUGUUAUUAGGGAAGAACAUAUGUGUAAGUAACUGUGCACAUCUUGACGGUACCUAAUCAGAAAGCCACGGCUAACUACGUGCCAGCAGCCGCGGUAAUACGUAGGUGGCAAGCGUUAUCCGGAAUUAUUGGGCGUAAAGCGCGCGUAGGCGGUUUUUUAAGUCUGAUGUGAAAGCCCACGGCUCAACCGUGGAGGGUCAUUGGAAACUGGAAAACUUGAGUGCAGAAGAGGAAAGUGGAAUUCCAUGUGUAGCGGUGAAAUGCGCAGAGAUAUGGAGGAACACCAGUGGCGAAGGCGACUUUCUGGUCUGUAACUGACGCUGAUGUGCGAAAGCGUGGGGAUCAAACAGGAUUAGAUACCCUGGUAGUCCACGCCGUAAACGAUGAGUGCUAAGUGUUAGGGGGUUUCCGCCCCUUAGUGCUGCAGCUAACGCAUUAAGCACUCCGCCUGGGGAGUACGACCGCAAGGUUGAAACUCAAAGGAAUUGACGGGGACCCGCACAAGCGGUGGAGCAUGUGGUUUAAUUCGAAGCAACGCGAAGAACCUUACCAAAUCUUGACAUCCUUUGACAACUCUAGAGAUAGAGCCUUCCCCUUCGGGGGACAAAGUGACAGGUGGUGCAUGGUUGUCGUCAGCUCGUGUCGUGAGAUGUUGGGUUAAGUCCCGCAACGAGCGCAACCCUUAAGCUUAGUUGCCAUCAUUAAGUUGGGCACUCUAAGUUGACUGCCGGUGACAAACCGGAGGAAGGUGGGGAUGACGUCGAAUCAUCAUGCCCCUUAUGAUUUGGGCUACACACGUGCUACAAUGGACAAUACAAAGGGCAGCGAAACCGCGAGGUCAAGCAAAUCCCAUAAAGUUGUUCUCAGUUCGGAUUGUAGUCUGCAACUCGACUACAUGAAGCUGGAAUCGCUAGUAAUCGUAGAUCAGCAUGCUACGGUGAAUACGUUCCCGGGUCU